GCGAACGCUAGCGGCGGGCCUAACACAUGCAAGUCGAGCGCGUGCCUUCGGGCACGAGCGGCGGACGGGUGAGUAACACGUAGGUAAUCUGCCCUCUGGUGGGGAAUAACCCGGGGAAACUCGGGCUAAUACCGCAUAUGGCCUUCGGGUCAAAGCCUUCGGGCGCCAGUGGAUGAGCCUGCGGCGCAUUACCUAGUUGGUAGGGUAAUGGCCUACCAAGGGGACGAUGCGUAGCUGGUCUGAGAGGAUGAUCAGCCACACUGGGACUGAGACACGGCCCAGACUCCUACGGGAGGCAGCAGUGGGGAAUAUUGCGCAAUGGGCGAAAGCCUGACGCAGCCACGCCGCGUGGGUGAUGAAGGCCCUCGGGUUGUAAAGCCCUGUCGGGAGGGAAGAAGUUCUGACGGUACCUCCCAAGAAAGCACCGGCUAACUCCGU
rnacentral:rRNA from 1 species